rnacentral:rRNA from 1 species
AGUGGCGUAAGGGCGAGGAAUAUAUUUCUAUGUACCCCUAAGUCAAGGAUAGCCCAGGGAAACUUGGAGUAAUACUUGAUGUGGUCUCCGGAUCAAAGAUUUAUCGCUUAGGGAGCAGGGAAUAUCCUAUCAGGUUGUUGGUGAGGUAACGGCUCACCAAGCCAAAGACGGGUAGCGGGUGUGAGAGCAUGACCCGCCGCAUCGGAACUGAGACACUGUCCGGACUCCUACGGGAGGCUGCAGUAACGAAUAUUCCGCAAUGAGCGAAAGCUUGACGGAGCAAUGCCGCGUGUAGGAUGAAUCUCUUCGGAGUGUAAACUACUGUCAGAGACUAGGAACAAAAUGACCAAUCUCAAAGGAAGGGCCGGCUAACUUCGUGCCAGCAGCCGCGGUAAUACGAAGGGCCCGAGCGUUAUUCGGAAUCACUGGGCUUAAAGCGUACGUAGGCUGGUAUAUAGGCGUCUUGUGAAAUCCCUCGGCUCAACCGAGGAACUGCAAGGCGAACCAUAUAUCUUGAGACAGACAGAGGUCGUCGGAACGAUUGGUGGAGUGGUGAAAUGCGUUGAUAUCAAUCGGAACGCCGAAAGAGAAGUCAGGCGACUGGGUCUUUUCUGACGCUGAGGUACGAAAGCGUGGGUAGCGACGGAUUAGAUACCCGGGUAGUCCACGUCGU